UACGUAGGGUGCGAGCGUUAAUCGGAAUUACUGGGCGUAAAGCGUGCGCAGGCGGUUCGUUGUGUCGGUGGUGAAAUCCCCGGGCUUAACCUGGGAAUGGCCAUGGAAACUGGCGAACUGGAGUGCGGCAGAGGGGGGUGGAAUUCCGCGUGUAGCAGUGAAAUGCGUAGAGAUGCGGAGGAACACCGAUGGCGAAGGCAGCCCCCCUGGGCUAGCACUGACGCUCAGGCACGAAAGCGUGGGGAGCAAACAGG
rnacentral:rRNA from 1 species